rnacentral:hammerhead_ribozyme from 1 species
AUCCAGAUGCCAAGUCCUGAAUAGGAUGAAACGCGCGUCCUGGAU